UUGGUGACCUGCCUGGACUGAUGGAUUCAGACAGUGACGGGAUGUUAACAGAUAACCCUCUUCCUCUCUCCUACACCCUGGUCUCCUGUACCUCCCACCACUUCAACCUCUGACGGCUCAGCCUAACACACCACCAUCACCACCACCACCUCUCAGCCUUCCAGUGUGCUCACACUCUUCCCGAUUCUGAGCCAGCUUAGGUGAAUAUAAUGUGCAGAGGAGAAAGGCUGAGUUCUACAGAGGACAAAUAUCUCCUUUCUUUCAUUUUUGGGAGCAGAGAUAUACUGAAAACUCAGUGAUUGGUGAGGGUCCAGCCUUGCUCUCCACCAACCCUCCUUCCUGUGAAAGGGAAAGAGCACCAGCCCUGUGGUCAAGUGGUUAAGUUCGUGCACCUGGCAUCGGCAGCCCAGGGUUUUGCCGGUUUGGAUCCUGGGUGUGGACAUAGUACUGCUCAUCAAGCCAUACUGAGGCGGCGUGCCACAUAGCACAACCACAGGGACUCACAACUAGAAUAUACAACUAUGUGCGGGGGUGCUUUGGGGAGAAGAAGAAGAAGAAAAGAAAAAAAAAGAAGAUUGCUGACAGAUGUUAGCUCAGAGACCAAUGUUAAAAGAAAAAAAAAAGGAAAGAAAGUCUGUUCUCUUAGGAAAGCUGGCAUAGACAACAAUCAGAAAAAUAAACAAGUGCUUAAGAAGCAACAGCAAAUUCAAGGUUCUCCACUUUGUUCCAGCUGCCUGUCCCUUAAUCCAGGCCCUCUACAACCUGAUCUCCAUGUUCUCUUACAGACUCCCCUUCUCACAAUUGCCUCAGUCUCCUGGGUUCUCACUCCAAAUCCCGCACCAAGCUCAUUGCCUUUUCAGUGCUUUCUGGAUGACAUGUUCUCACCCAGCCUUGAAUUUCCCUUUGCACAUGGGUCAGACAUUGCCUCAGCUCCAGGAUCUUCUCCUUGAAUGCAGCUUGGGCUGCAGCCAUCGACAGCAGGGCUCCUGGAGCUGGAUAAAAGCCUUAUGAGGCCCAGAACUUGCUGAUAACUGGAGAGUCUAAAGAGCUGGGGGGAGAUCUCCAACAUGCCAACCUCUCUGAGAGGUCAGCUUCUGCCAUGAGCCAACUGAGAGAAUGUGAGCCAUAAAGAGGAAUUCAGCUGAAACUGAGGCUGAUCUGUG
rnacentral:lncRNA from 1 species